CAGCACCGACCCCUGGGGAACACCACUCAUGACCGGUCACCAGCUGGAUUUAACUCCAUUCACCACCACUCUCUGGGCCCGGCCCUCCAGCCAGUUCCUUACCCAGCCCAGAGUGUACCUGUCCAAGCCACUAUCUGCCAGCUUCUGCAGGAGAAUACUGUGGGAGGCAGUGUCAAAGGCUUUGCUGAAGUCUAGGUAGACUACAUCAACAGCCUUUCCCUCAUCCACCAGACAGGUCACUAGAUCAUAGAAGGAGAUCAGGUUGGUCAAGCAGGACCUGCCCUUCGUGAACCCAUCCUGGCUAGGCCUGAUCCCCCGGUUGUCCCGCACAUGCCGCGUGAUCUCCCUCAAGACAAUCUGCUCCAUAAUCUUCCCCGGCACUGAGGUCAGGCUAACAAGCCUGUAGUUCCCCGGAUCCUCCCUGCAGCCCUUCUUGUAGAUGGGAGUCACAUUGACAAGCCUCCAGUCUUCUGGGACCUCACCUGUCAGCAAGGAGCGCUGAUAGAUGAUGGAAAGUGUCUUGGCUAUCACCUCUGCCAGUUCCCUCAGCACUCUCGGGUGAAUCUCAUCCGGUCCCAUGGACUUGUGGCAGUCCAGUUGGAGUAGCAGGUCUCUGACUCUUUCCUCCUGAAUUGUGGGGGCUUUAGUCUUCUCCCCAGCCAAGACUGCCAGGUCAGAGAGUGGAGAAACCUGAGGAUAACUGGUCUGAGUCAUAAAGACAGAUGUAAAGAAGGCAUUCAGAACCUCUGCCUUUUCCUUAUCCUCAGUGGUCACAUUCCCAGCCUCAUCCAGUAGAGAAUGGAGAUUCUCCCUGGUCCUUUUCUUACUGUUGAUAUACUUGUAAAAGAGUUUCUUGUUCCUUUUUACCCCAGCAGCCAGGUUGAGUUCAAGCUGGGCUUUUGCCUUUCUGAUUUUCUCCCUGCACAUCUUAACAACUUCUUUGUAUUCUUUCUGGGUUGCCCGUCCCUUCUUCCACAGGAGGUAGAUUCUCUCUUUUUCUCCUGGAGCCUCAAGAAUUGUUCCCUAUUCAUCCACGCCGAU
ensembl:lncRNA